CCUUUACUUAUAAAAGAAUCUGAUUAUCAUGAGGUGAAAUUGCUAAACGCCCAACAAGUGCGGUUCCUGCCGAAACUAAAAGUGCAGAGUUUGUUUCAAUGAGUGGCCGGCAACGUGUGAGACUCGACCAACUGUGCUAAGUGACAAGUAUCUGACAUUGUUACGUAUUUGAUUAACUUUAGACAUGUGUGGAGCAAAUAAUCUGUACUUAACGUUCUAAGCCUGUUGAACACUGACACGUAGAGUACUGCAAGAAGUCUAUAAUCAAAUGGAUAAUUGUAAUGUGAACACAAAAUUGAUAAAUGUCGCAUUUCUCUGUCUUGACGUGAAACGCCUUUAAUAUAUUUGAAAUUGGUCAUAAUUUACCAUUGUUUCGCAUCCUUUCUUCCAGUUUUUUAUGACAUAAAAAUGUACCGAACUCGCCUGCACUAUCAGUAUACGCUGGCAGGAUACCAGUGAAGCCGUAAUGAUGAAUUCAGCACGAUUUUAUCAUAAUGAGUUCCAGGAAGACUCGCGUGGAAGUCGACCUAGCAGGGUAUGGUUAUAUUAAUGGGAACUAAGGUUUCCUUUAUUAUUCCUUCUUCCUUCUUCUAUCAGUAGGUGUUUAAGCAAGAUAGAGAGCGUUUUUGUCGAUGUUGUGGUCACAUGGCAAUAAAUAAAUUUGGAUAGAGCUUUCUUGGCUUAAUGUGGAGCACAAUGUAUAAGGCAAACUACAUGAAAUGGUUAAAUGGAUUAUUUAAUUUUAUUAAAAAAAAUAGACAAAGAUGUCAAUAAUUUUAUAAUACAUUUUCCGCCAAUAGAAGGGAGUAUAAUUUUAGGAUAUAUAAUUUUAAAAGUUCUUAUUUAUAAAAAAUAAAUAAUAAUACAUAUAAAAGUGUAAUUGCUGUCACAAGGAGUUCCCAUUUGAUGUAGAAUGCCUUUUGUAUUUUACAUUCAAAAUGCUAAUAUCUUAUAGAAGUGUUAUACUUGUAAAUAUAACAACCUGCCUAGAUAUAUUAACAUACACCACUUUUAGCAGAGAUAUUAAUUUAAAAUAAUAAGACAGUUAUGUCAAAUGAAGGUUAAUGUUUUUCAAGCAUAUGUAUGUUUGUAUGUCCGGAUAUUUUGCGCUUUAUUAUAUAAUAUGAAUAUUAUAUAUGACACGGAUCAUCAAACGAGCCGGCAUGAUUGUCUGUGGCGUAUAUUUUUAAUAAAAAAGAAAAAUAUAAAAUCGUGCAGCGAUUUAUUAUGAAACAUUUUCGAAGUACGGGCGGUGAACAUAUCUGUAGAUACGGGACUACGUGUCGCUACGUCGUAUUUCGACCGGUAACUACCAAUACCUCCUAACUAACAUUUUUAAUGUUUAGUUAUUUACUUAAUUGUAAAUAUUUGUUUCUAAGUUUCUACAAAUCUCCUUUUCUAUGUUACAUAGAGAAUUAAUUUUCACAUCUGUGUAUUGUGAAAUGGUAUUAGAAAUUUUUUUGAUUCAUAGUAUUUAGAAUACAUUCAGAGGUAGGAUAUUUUCUGUAGCUCGUGUAAAAUUUUUUUCCAUGUCAGGAGCUGUUUGUGGUUAACCAUCGAUUUAUGUUUUUGUAAAAUGUUCAUUCUGUCUUAUAAGUGGUAGUCAUGGAACAUGGGGUAUACAUUGCUCUGAUAAGUAUUUGGUAAUGUGAAAAUAAAAUUUAUAAAUGAUCUCCAAAAAUAUUCGAAUAUACAAAUUAUUCAAUACUUUUGCAUUUAUGUGGAGUAUUUUAGAGUGCUAAUGAGGGCACUGUGUGGCCGGCACUCUCGCAUUUAGAGUGAACUUAUUGAAAGCAAAUUCAUUCGUAUUAAGUGAUAUUGGUAAGUGCAAUUUUUUUGUUAUCUUCAAGAGUAUGAAAUGAACUAGAUGUAGUAUUAGAGUACAUUCUAUUAAUGUUUAAUUAUGUUUUUAUUUUAUCUGCAGAUAGAGUUCACUUAUUAUUGUAGUUAUAAACAAGAUUUGUAUCGAAUCAAAAACUUAUGUACUCAAAUAUAGCUUUUUUUU
rnacentral:lncRNA from 1 species